AACAACAACAAACAAAGAUGCAAAUCAAGGGCAACAAUGGCAAGGCGGCGCGUCGACGUCAAAUGUGUCAAUGUCUCUUGUAUUUGGUGUCCAUUCUUUGUGUUUUAAUGUGCUUUCUCUUGAGU
rnacentral:ribozyme from 13 species